AUGUUUAACCCAAAACUGGAUGAAAUUUAUUUGAAAACGGGAGUAAAAUGUGUAUACUCUACUAAAUCUUGUUUUGACCCAGUAAGAGGGUAUACCUUUUGGGACCCUUCUCUUGAUAAUGAGUGUAAUGACAAGCACUAUAGUGUUCUUUACGAAGGACCAGCGUACAAAAUCCGUGACUCCAAUAAGUUGGAACCACUUUCGUACCUAGUAGACGAAGAGGAUGUUGCCUUCUCACUGAAAGCUAUAAAAACUACCAGAAUUUGCCACCAGGAAGCAUACCAGACUGAAUAUCCUAGAUUUUACAUUGUGCCGAAAUCUGAUUAUGACUUUACAUUUCGCAAGUCCCAGCGUAAAGUAACUGCAGAGCUACUGACCUACUUUAAUAUAAAAUUUUUAUUUCUGGAACGCCAUCUUUCUCGAGCUAUUCAAAAAUUGCAUGAGUCUCUUUCGCUCGCUAAUUGCAUGGUAGAAAGGCAAAUUUUAGAACACCAUUUAAGCCUUGCAAUACACCAUAGCGACGAAUUUGCAUAUAUUCGUGGCGGUGGUCCUGGUUGGACUGCCAUUUCAAUGGGCGAAGUCUGCUAUUUAAUCCAAUGUAAAGCAGUUCCCGUCGAUUUGAGACCGACGACCACAUGUUAUAAUGAAAUCCCGGUCUCAUACAAAAAUGAAAGCAUGUUUUUAAGCCCCAGAACCCGCAUUUUGACUCAUAAAGGCACGGAAAUGGACUGUUCCAACCAAUUACCAGUAAAAUUUCAAAUAGACGACCAAUGGUAUGCAUUCACACCCAGAGUCCAAACUGCAAACGCACCCUUAGAACUGGAAGCGAGAUCCUUUUCGUCUUGGUACUACAAGAGCCCCCGAAAUAUUUUAAAAGCUGGCAUUUAUACCGAAGAAGACCUUGCCGCGUACCAGCGCCGUGUAUCUUACCCACUAGAAAGUUCAGCUGUCCAAAACGCCAUUAUUAGGGAAGCACUAGGCUACCCGCAGGCGGAUAGAACACUUCACUUUGAAAAUUUUCUCACAGAGGCAUCUUUAGAAAAUAUUUUUCAAAAGACAACUCGUAAGGUAUGGGGCGUAUUUUAUGACCUAGGAACAGUUGUUUCUGGAUUUAUUGGAAUCAUUUUCAUAUUUAAGUUGAUUAAACUGGUCUUAGACACAAUAAUUUUUGGAAAAUUACUUCAUUCAGUCUUUGGUUUUUCAUGGAAAUUACUCGCAGCCUUAUUCUCAUCCCUAGCAAAUUACCUCAUUCACUCUCACCAUGUAAACAAACGUGAGCAAACUUAUAGUCGUAACCCGGAAGAGCCCCUCCCUCUUGCAACCCCGUCUGUGCCUUCCUUAAAAGGUUCGCUCCCAUCAUAUGUUUCCCACUAA
rnacentral:lncRNA from 1 species